ensembl:lncRNA
GAAAAAGCGAGCACGCAGAACAGAGCAGCUUGCUGCUUGAACUCAUCUGAGUGCAAACUCAGUGCUGCUGUAUCACUGCUUCGAUCAGAAGACAAAAGCAACCGCAGUUUCUAAUCCCCCACAGGUAUGAACCAAGAACAUUCUUUUUGUCUUACAGCUGAAACCCGGCACAGUAACAAUCCCAACAGAACACGGAAAGCACAGGAGCCACACCAAACUCAUUUCUUUCUCAUCCCCGCCAUAUGCUUUAGGUCAUAAAAGCAACCCACUGUCAAAUUAAGACGUUUCCACACCAGAAAUUCUAAGGAGAUCAUCUGGUCAUGGAGAAAAAAAUCAAUGAGAUAUGUUGUAUGUGAACUUUGCAUACGAUAAUUAUUCCAAUCCGGUUAAUUUUCUGAUUUUCUUGCUUUCCAGGUUAACAUCACUGGCACGGUAUUCGUUAUAUAAGCGUUGCAGUAAAACCUCAAAGCAAACUUGUUAAUCCUUAACAACACAUACCAUUCUGUAUUCAUCAGAAGUUCUGUCAGUUCAAAAUUAACCGUCAGAGUAACGAAGAAGAGCUAAAAUAAAAAAGGAUUUUUUUAAGUUAGCGUCUGGCAGGAGAAUAUAAUAAGGAAAGUCCGAGGAACUGUUCGGAUAGUGUAAGGCAAGCAAUGAAGCAUAAAGGAAAAUGCAGGCGGGCUAUCAAAUACGAUCAUCCCAAGUGAAGUUUAUAGUUAGCUGUUGAAUUUGUAGUUUUAAAAAUUCACAGCUGAACCCGUUUGUGUCCUCAUGGCUUCACAAAGUGGUAGAGGAAGAAGGUAGUUUCUACCACAGUUCAAACAGGCUCUAAUUUACCCAAGGUAGAAUAAUCUGCAGCAGUUUAAAAAUUAAGCAUUGAUCUCCUGACUCAGCCUACUGCUCUCAUCAGAAGACACGAUCAUUCUUUUAAAGUGUCGACUGAGAUGUUUUAUUGAAUGUCUGAGCUAGCAACAGUGGGGUCCAAACUCCACAAUCACGUAUGUGGUAUUUGACAGCUUUCAGGUUGCAAGGCCAUGUAAGUUUUCUGCUGUUGAAGGCAACAGGCUGCUUUAGGCUGAAUGUCUUUAUGUUAAUCCCAAACCAUAAUGCAAACCCUUGCUUUAUGGGGUUCUGAUGAAGUUUUGAUAUCAGACUAAAAAAUACCUUCUACAUUAAUUUUCUACCUUAUCAAUAGGUUUAGUACCUGGUAACGUACAUUUUGGAAGAUUAAGUACAUUUAUGUUUCUCCAAAUCUGGUCUAUUCAUUGUAACUGUAAUUGUGAAACUAUUUAGGUGAGAUAUAGAUCAUUCGCUUUCGAUCAUAUUGCUGACGCUAUCUUUUGAUUUAAUUACAUUGCAUUUAAAAACCCAUUUAUAAUUAGAUGCUACCUGGCAACAUCUUAGAGGACCUGCCUGUGAGUAACCACAAAGUCCUUCCAACUUCUUUCUGUGAUGGCUUUAAUAAGCUCAGAUAUGGUCUAGCAGCCAACAGACAGAUCACAGCCUGCUGAGUAGAUCAGUAUUAUCUUGCCAUAUUAUUUUUCCCUUGGAAAAGUCAUCUCUUUUUCCUAAGCAUAAGCUGUUUCUUAUAAAAUGAAUGAGGAGUUUGUGCAAAACUUUCUGCUAAGGAGAAAACUUUCAAAGAGCAAUCAUUGCUGUGGCCCCUCAUGCGGCAAUGCUGAUUUCAUGUUAAGAAGCAUCUCUGAAUGGAAGGAAAUCAAUCGAAUCUGUGCAGAGCACAGACAGGAUGUGGAAUGCCAGAUAGGCAUUCGCUUAAACUGUUUGGAGUCAAUGGAGAGAAGCAAAGCACAAUUUGAUCUGUUUUAGGCAUCUUCAGUAGGGUGAGAUGAAUCACAUCUUAAAAAUGGCACUGCUGACUGCUGAGGCCAUUGAGACAACCAGCUCCAAUAUAGGCAUCUGCACCAUAGACAUCCGAAAAUCUCUGCAAAGCUAAUUGACCGGGCUCACAGGAGAUCCUAAUGUGGAACAGCCUUCCUGCACCACCACUUCAGCCUUUCAGACUGGCAGCUUUAUUUAGUCUGAAAAUCCUUUUGAGGAAGAGACCAUCUUUUUACUUGGAAUUAGCAUUGCACUUGCAACCAGAAGUGUGACAGGCAAGGCGGUAAAGCUUCUGCUAACAACAGAAACUUCACCAAGUGAACAUACACUAACAUCCCUCACAGAGCUACAACAGUGUGUGUGUCAGUGCAGCCAGUAGGAUUUAUCAGCGUGUACUUGAACACUUCUGCCUAGAAUGUCGAAUGGCCAAGUAACAGAACUAAAUCCAGUCCUGUCUGUAGGGCACGCAGGCAAAGACUACAAUUCUGUCUCCUUUGAAGUCAGCUGUAAAUCUGUCUUUGGCUCUGAUGGCAACAGCCUUUAAAAUAAGGAGUCCAGAGCAUAACGUGCAUAAGAUAAAAAAGAAAUCACAUUAUUAUUUACCAGCACUUCUCAGACUGUGUGUUGAGGCAUCAUCACUCAGAAAGGAAAAGAGAACAACUUUAUAAGAAACAGUAUUUCACAAUACAUAUAUAAAGUAAACUAAAUAUGACUGGUCUCUGUUGCAGGUGAAACAUCUUUUCCACUGUCUGUUUUUUUACAGUAUUUUUUUUUUCAUGCAUUUUACCACCUCUUUAUGCUAACCGUGGAUGAACUAAUAAUUCCUAUUUUAAUCAAUCUGUCAUCCAUUCUUCUCCGUGCAGGACUUCCUUCCUUAUAAACAUUUUGAUCAGAAAGGGUAGUAUUUCCUUCAUGUUAUGCAAAGCUUGGGUUACAAAUUACCAACCUAUGCAUGUUUGUCCCUUAUUUAUAUAGUUUUUAAAGGAAUAAAAGCUGUCAAAAAACUUGCUCUCCCUGACUUUUUUGGCUUAUUUUUUAAGAUUUCAUUGAUCUGAUUUCACUUUUACCUCAUUUCAGCUGCAACUGUUAACUGAGAUCAAAAUGAUGGAGACUGCCGUCUACUGGAUACUGAGUCAAUGAUGAAAGAUAGCAAAUUUGCCUACUCAGAGGGGUCAAUACUGCAGAUUUCUUCCUUUUGCUGAAUGUUUUCCUGUGGCUAUACCAAGAUUUCCAAGGUGAACCUUUUCUUUUCCAUCCAUAUUCCUUUUUUGAAUUUGUUCACACUAUUUUUGCCAGCUUUCCCAUCUCCACCUAACUUAAUGAGCA